GCAUAGAGAAAAACAAAAAACUUCCAAUACCCCAAUACCCAGCUUGGAUGAGUGUGCACACCCUUUUAUAAUAUAAUAAUCAACCAAAUCACAUUCAAACUCAUGUUAAAUACUAAUUAGUGUACACCUGCCAUCAAUUAAAGUGACUAAUUAACCCCAAAUAAAGUACAGCUGUUCCUAUAGGAUUUUCCUGACAUCUUCUUGGUAACAUCCAACUGGAAGAGCCAUGGGCCACAAAGAGCUUAGAAAGCAGGUACGGGAUCUCACCGUUAAAAAAUAUCAAUCAGGAGUGGGUUAAAUUUUUUUCCAAGAUAUUGGAUACACCAUGGAACACUGUAAAGACAAUAAUCAACAAGUGGAGGAAAUAUGGCACGACGGUGACUACUAAGAACAGGACGUCCCUCUAAAAUUGAUGAAGAUCAGGAGAAAACUGGUCAGGGAGACUGCAAAGAGGCCUACAACAACAGUAAAAGAAUUGCAGCAAUUUCUGGCUAGUACCGGUUGCUUCCUACAUGUGACAAUCUCCUGAAUUCUUCAUAUAUCUGGGCGAUGGGGUAGGGUGGCAUGACGGAAGCCAUUUUUAACCAAUAAAUAAAUAAAUAAAUAAAUAAAUGCAUCAAAUCUCCCCAAACCCAAAAUGUGGAAUAAUGUGUUAUGGUCUGAUGAGACCAUAGUUGAACUUUUUGACCAUACUAUCAAAAGAAGUUUGGCACAAAAUAAUAGCACAGAACCAAAAGACCACCAUCCCCAUGGGGAAGCAUACUUUGGGGCUGUUUUUCUUUAGCAUCAGGGUGGAGGGAGUAAUGAAUCGCUCCAAAUACUAGUCAAAUUUUGGCGCAAAACCUUAAGUCUUCUGCUAAAACACUUUAAGGUGAAGAGGAAUUUCACCUUCAGCAUGACAACGACCCAAAGCAAACCUCCAGAUCAACAAAGGAUUGGCUUCACCAAAAUAAGUUCAAGGUUGUGGAAUGAGUCAGCCAGAGUCCAGACCUGAUUCCAAUUAAAGAUCUGUGGGGCAACCUGAUGAGGGCUGUGCACAGGAGAUGUGGCAAACUGACUGACUCUUGCACAAAAAGAUUGAAUGCUGUGAUAAAAUCGAAAGCUGCUUCAACUGAAGUGUGCACACUUAUGCAACCAGGAGAACUUUUUAAACAGCAUGAAGUUAAAAGGUUAAAAGGUCAUACCCAGUAACACACUGCGGCAAAGUUGAAAGAAAUUCCAGAAAUGAUGAGGAAGAAGGUGAUUGAAAUACCAGUCUGGGAAGGGCUACAAAGCUAUUACAAAGGUUCUGGGACUCCAAAGAAUCACAGUGAGAGGCACUAUCUCCAAAUGGAAAAACUCUGCACAGUAGUGAACCUUCCCAGAAGUGGCCAACCUUCUAAAAUUCCUCCAAGAGCCCAGCAACGACUCAUCCAGCAAGUCACAAAAGAUGAAAGGACAACAUCAAAGGAACUACAGACCUCUCAUCAGUAAAGGUCACUGUUCCUGACUCCACUAUCAGAAAGCCAGUGGGCAAAAAUGCCAUCCAUGGAAUAGAGGCGAGGUGAAAACCACUGCUGACCCAGAACAUCAUUAAGGCUUGUCUGAAUUUUUCCAAAACACACCUUGAUGAUCCUCAAACCUUUUGGGAGAAUGUUCUGUGGAUUGAGGAGUCGAAAGUGGAACUGUUUGGAAGACAGGCGCCCCGUUACAUCUGGCGUAAUCCAAACACAGAACUCCA